GUUUUGAUAAAUUGUUAAAAUGAUUAUAAUUGCAAUAGGGAAAAAUAUUCGAUUCUUGAUAUCAUCGUUGGGUUUGACAAGGCAUCGUAAUCGAUUUAUGAUGGAUCGAUCGUCGAUCAAAGUAGUAUGACAAUAAUAUAAUAAUUAGUAUCCAUAAGACAAUAGUUUCGUACAUAAUGCUUAGACGAAACCGGUUUUCAGGUAGAUUAUUCCUUAUCGAAAUGAGUAAUUCUUGCUACGCAGAAUUCUAGUUAAUCAUAACCAAUAUACUUUUUCCCCAUUUGAAAAAAAAGUAAAAGAAAAAAGUAAGAUAAAUGUUAACCUGAACGACCCAGUAAACCAGAAUUCUAACUGUGUCAACAGGCAAGAUUAUGCACGCAUACGCAUCCGGCAAUAUAGUUUCUAGUAGCUCGUCACUUACGCCCUUCUUCGAUACACGUAUGCAUAAGCGGAAAAGGGGACGUCGAUCGAUGAUGAUAACACGUAACAUCGUGUUGAUUAGAUGAAGAAUUGCGAGACAGGUGGAUUAAAUUUUGUCUCAAUUUUGGCCAACUUAAUGCUUAAUCCUUCUUUCAAUUUAAUUGUAACGAGUUUAAAUGUAAGUAUAAAUGGAUUAUUUCACUUUUUGCAAGAUCUUUUGUUUUCGAUGUGAAAAGAGCAAUCCAAUGAUACGUUUUUAUGCGGAUUUAGGUUAAGUGAUGAAUGGAAGAAAUGUUUUGAUGAGGCAUACUGGAUUCAGGUUAUGUUCGGUUAACUGUUAAUCAUGGCGAUAACUUCGUUGAUUCUGAAACUGAUGCAAAUAUUCAAGAUAAGUGAGGCUUGCUGGAAAGAUGCUGAAAUUGAAAUUUAGAAAUAUAAACAGUGAUUGAAAAAGUAUCAAUGAAACAAGUGCAACUGAAUACAUUUGUAUUUGAGAAACUAUUAUGGAUUACCAAAGAACAAUACUUUUCUGUGUAAACUUGGUGAAGUGAAAUAUGGAAAUAAAGAAAAUUUAUUUUCUUAUUUUCUGCACUUUCUAUUGUUUUCACAUUAGCAUGUAUCCACACUUCUUUAGUGACGCUUCAACGAAUGAUUGUUUAUAGAGAUCGAUCAUACAAUGAAACCUAACCUGUAAA